AUGUUCCAGAAGCAGAGUAACUCUGUUGGGGCCGUGCGCUGGACACUAUCAGAAAAAGAUAUUCAGGUCCACAGUUCUGCCCCCACCUUUAAGAACAGUAGUGGAUUUUCUACCCGUUCACAGCAAAGACAACGUCAGCAAGGCCUGAAAGAUCUCCGGAGCUUGGAUGAGUGCAUCAGAUUCAUAAACCACUGGAAGCAACAGGUGGCACAAAUAUAUAUCGGCACGGCUGUGAUUCAGCCAUAUCGAAAUCUAUCUAUCUAUCUAUCUAUCUAUCUAUCUAUACAAGUACACACACACACACACACACACACGUAUAUAAACAGACAGAUGUGUUUAACAGCUUAAGUAAUAAUUUCUGGCAAACUCCUCUUUGCGUGCAAACUCAACGGCAAUCAAUGACUUUUUUAUUGGUAUUAUAUGAUAAGCGUUGCCAUGAGAGAAAUAUAUGAUGCUUAAUUAUUAGUUUAUGUUUCACCAUGGUAACUGAUAACACCUAUAUCAAUAACCAAGCAAUACUGUAUGUGAAAUUCUGGGCCUUGUCACGCUAUGUAUGUGAUAAAGAAUGUUCGUAUCAUAUAUCAAUUAUUUAUUUUGGCUUUAUAUAACAAUAUAAUUGAAAGUUAUUUAAUAUUGUCUGUAAUAUGCUUUUUAUGCUUUUCCUUUUGACAUUAAGAACCAAAAUUGCAUCAGGAGAUGACAAAGGAAGAAUAAUUUUAGGGAUACACCAAUUUUAGGCCGAUACUAAGCCAAUAUUUAUAGUCAUGUUAUGAUCAAUAACUGAUAAACAGACGAUAUAAAACAAUAUAUUUACUAUUGUUUAAAUAAACAAAUAAUCAAUCACUAAGAACUAAAAUAAUUUUAAAUGCUACAGAAAAAAUUAGUGUCUCAUCAUAACAUUAUAAUGUACAAUAUGAAAAUUUGAUAUUCAUUUUAAAUUUUGCUUAAAAUUUAAUUUGACAGUGUAAUUAAAUGUUUUUAAAGAUUUAAGGUUUAGUUCACCCAAAAAUGAAAAUUCUGUCAUUAAUUACUCACCCUCAUGUCGUUCCAAACCCAUAAGACCUUCAUUCAUCUUGAACCGCUGAUGUCACAUGGACUGUUUUAAUGAUGUCCUUACUACCUUUCUGGGCCUUGGACAUAGUAACUCCAUUGCUGUCUAUGCAGGGUCAGAAAGCUCUCAGAUUUUUUUCAAAAUGUUCAUUUUUGUGUAAAGUCAGCAUAAAAAUAGGGGAAGUGAGCAUGCAAUACAAAAUCAACUGAUAA
rnacentral:lncRNA from 1 species